rnacentral:rRNA from 1 species
CCUACGGGAGGCAGCAGUGAGGAAUAUUGGUCAAUGGGCGGGAGCCUGAACCAGCCAAGUCGCGUGAGGGAAGACGGUCCUAUGGAUUGUAAACCCCUUUAGGCGGGGAGCAAUGCCGGGCACGCGUGCACGGAGGGAGAGUAACCGCAGAAUAAGCAUCGGCUAACUCCGUGCCAGCAGCCGCGGUAAUACGGGGGAUGCGAGGGUUAUGCGGAUCUGUGGGGGUUAAAGGGUGCGUAGGCGGGCUUUUAAGCCAGCGGUAAAAAUUCGGGGCUCAACCCCGUCCGGUCUUUGAAACUGGGGGCCUUGAGUGGGCGAGAAGAAGGCGGAAUGCGUGGUGUAGCGGUGAAAUGCAUAGAUAUCACGCAGAACCCCGAUGGCGAAGGCAGCCUUCCGGCGCCCUACUGACGCUGAGGCACGAAAGUGCGGGGAUCGAACAGGAUUAGAUACCCCGGUAGUU